AAUAGAUACCCAGGUAGUCCACGCCCUAAACGAUGGAUGCUAGGUUUGCGGGUAUCGACCCCCUGUGAGCCGUAGGUAACCCGUUAAGCAUCCCGCCUGGGGACUACGACCGUAAGGUUAAAACUCAAAGGAAUUGACGGGGGCCCGCACAAGCAGCGGAGCGUGUGGUUUAAUUCGAUGCUAAACGAAGAACCUUACCAGGGCUUGACAUGUAAGUGGUACUGAGUCGAAAGGCAAGGGACCCGCAAGGGAGCUUACACAGGUGCUGCAUGGUUGUCGUCAGCUCGUGCCGUGAGGUGUUGGGUUAAGUCCCGCAACGAGCGCAACCCUUGUCGCUAGUUAAAUUCUCUAGCGAGACUGCCCCUAAAAGGGAGGAAGGAGGGGAUGACGUCAAAUCAUCAUGGCUCUUACGUCCUGGGCUACACACACGCUACAAUGGCCAGUACAAACGGUUGCUAAAUCGCGAGAUGGAGCCAAUCCGAUCAAAGCUGGUCUCAGUUGGGAUUGCAGGCUGAAACCCGCCUGCAUGAACGUGGAGUUGCU
rnacentral:rRNA from 1 species